GAUGAACGCUGGCGGCGUGCUUAACACAUGCAAGUCGAACGGUGAAGCCCAGCUUGCUGGGUGGAUCAGUGGCGAACGGGUGAGUAACACGUGAGCAACCUGCCCCUGACUCUGGGAUAAGCGCUGGAAACGGCGUCUAAUACUGGAUAUGUGACGUGACCGCAUGGUCUGCGUCUGGAAAGAAUUUCGGUUGGGGAUGGGCUCGCGGCCUAUCAGCUUGUUGGUGAGGUAAUGGCUCACCAAGGCGUCGACGGGUAGCCGGCCUGAGAGGGUGACCGGCCACACUGGGACUGAGACACGGCCCAGACUCCUACGGGAGGCAGCAGUGGGGAAUAUUGCACAAUGGGCGCAAGCCUGAUGCAGCAACGCCGCGUGCGGGAUGACGGCCUUCGGGUUGUAAACCUCUUUUAGCAGGGAAGAAGCGAAAGUGACGGU
rnacentral:rRNA from 1 species